GACGAACCGAGCGACCGUUGUUCGGAAUCACUGGGCUUAAAGGGCGCGUAGGCGGGUUCUCAAGUCCGGGGUGAAAUCCUCCAGCUCAACUGGAGAACUGCCUCGGAUACUGGGUGCCUCGAGUGUGGUAGGGGUGUGCGGAACUAUCGGUGGAGCGGUGAAAUGCGUUGAUAUCGAUAGGAACUCCGGUGGCGAAGGCGGCACACUGGACCACAACUGACGCUGAGGCGCGAAAGCCAGGGGAGCAAACGGG
rnacentral:rRNA from 1 species